UUGCCCACCUGAAGCUAAUGGUGCUUCAUGUGGCCAGAACAGAGGGGUAAAGCACUCUUCUCUCUUAAACCCGGGACGAACGAUCAGCCUCUGUUCCGGAUCCUGUCGUGAGAGACAGCC
rnacentral:snoRNA from 1 species